GGACGUGAGGUCUCUGGCUAUACCUGUCGCCCCGCUGAUCACCAGCACUGCUCAGGAUGACGUGGCUGGCUUGGCAGGUGUCCUUCCCUCGCCACUCUGGUGCCUCCCACCCACAGCUGGGUUGCAGAAGACGCCCUUUCUUAGCAGAGGAGCCUUUCAGUCCGGGGUGUACUAGUAGCUGUGUUCCUCUGCUUCAGUCUACAGGCAAAUUGGUGACUUGGGUUACGGUAGUUAUGACAGAGCUCCUGUCCUAGGUCUCUAC
rnacentral:snRNA from 1 species